rnacentral:rRNA from 1 species
CAGUCGCCGCGGGAAUACAGAGGGUGCGAGCGUUAAUCGGAUUUACUGGGCGUAAAGCGUGCGUAGGCGGCUUCUUAAGUCGGAUGUGAAAUCCCUGAGCUUAACUUAGGAAUUGCAUUCGAUACUGGGAAGCUAGAGUAUGGGAGAGGAUGGUAGAAUUCCAGGUGUAGCGGUGAAAUGCGUAGAGAUCUGGAGGAAUACCGAUGGCGAAGGCAGCCAUCUGGCCUAAUACUGACGCUGAGGUACGAAAGCAUGGGGAGCAAACAGGAUUAGAGACCCCCGUAGUCCCUGUCUCUUAUAU